rnacentral:rRNA from 1 species
UACAGAGGUCCCGAGCGUUGUUCGGAUUCACUGGGCGUAAAGGGUGCGUAGGUGGUGAGGUAAGUCGGAUGUGAAAUCUCCGGGCUCAACCCGGAAAUGGCAUUGGAAACUACCUUGCUAGAGGAUUUGAGGGGGGAUUGGAAUACUUGGUGUAGCAGUGAAAUGCGUAGAUAUCAAGUGGAACACCGAUGGCGAAGGCAGGUCACUGGGCCGCAACUGACGCUGAGGAGCGAAAGCAUGGGGAGCGAACAGG